AUACAUGCAAGUCGAGCGAACAGAUAAGGAGCUUGCUCCUUUGACGUUAGCGGCGGACGGGUGAGUAACACGUGGAUAACCUACCUAUAAGACUGGGAUAACUUCGGGAAACCGGAGCUAAUACCGGAUAACAUAUUGAACCGCAUGGUUCAAUAGUGAAAGGCGGCUUUGCUGUCACUUAUAGAUGGAUCCGCGCCGUAUUAGCUAGUUGGUAAGGUAACGGCUUACCAAGGCAACGAUACGUAGCCGACCUGAGAGGGUGAUCGGCCACACUGGAACUGAGACACGGUCCAGACUCCUACGGGAGGCAGCAGUAGGGAAUCUUCCGCAAUGGGCGAAAGCCUGACGGAGCAACGCCGCGUGAGUGAUGAAGGUCUUCGGAUCGUAAAACUCUGUUAUCAGGGAAGAACAAAUGUGUAAGUAACUGUGCACAUCUUGACGGUACCUGAUCAGAAAGCCACGGCUAACUACGUGCCAGCAGCCGCGGUAAUACGUAGGUGGCAAGCGUUAUCCGGAAUUAUUGGGCGUAAAGCGCGCGUAGGCGGUUUUUUAAGUCUGAUGUGAAAGCCCACGGCUCAACCGUGGAGGGUCAUUGGAAACUGGAAAACUUGAGUGCAGAAGAGGAAAGUGGAAUUCCAUGUGUAGCGGUGAAAUGCGCAGAGAUAUGGAGGAACACCAGUGGCGAAGGCGACUUUCUGGUCUGUAACUGACGCUGAUGUGCGAAAGCGUGGGGAUCAAACAGGAUUAGAUACCCUGGUAGUCCACGCCGUAA
rnacentral:rRNA from 2 species